ACCAGAAAUAGGCUAAUUGGACCCAAUUUGGACAUUUCCACUUAUGGGUGUACUCACUUUUGUUGCCAACGGUUUAGACAUUAAUGGCUGUGUGUUGAGUUAUAUUGAGGGGACAGCAAAUUUACACUGUUAUACAGGCUGUACACUUACUACUUUACAUUGUAGCUGAGUGUCAUUUCUUCAGUGUUGUCACAUGAAAAGAUAUAAUAAAAUAUUUACAAAAAUGUGAUGGGUGUGCUCACGUUUGUGAGAUACUGUGUAUAAAUUUAACACAGAGCAGGUAAAAGAUUAUCAACCAUGAUUACAGGUGCAUUCUGUUUUGAGAUAUGUAGAGAGGGAUCUCCUAAAGGAUUUCCAGCUGAGUGUGAAUUUGAAGUGUCCGAGUGGUUAUUCCAUAAUUGCGGUGAUCUGUAGGAAAAUGAUGAUCGAGCCGCUUUCUCUUUGUAUUGUGAUAGACUAAAUAAAGUGCUGGUACUGGAAUUUAUUUUAAA